rnacentral:rRNA from 1 species
GACGAACGCUGGCGGCGUGCUUAACACAUGCAAGUCGAGCGGUAAGGCCCUUUCGGGGGUACACGAGCGGCGAACGGGUGAGUAACACGUGGGUGACCUGCCCUCAGCUCUGGGAUAAGCCUGGGAAACUGGGUCUAAUACUGGAUAUGACUCCACGGUGCAUGUCGUGGGGUGGAAAGCCUUGUGCGGCUGAGGAUGGGCCCGCGGCCUAUCAGCUUGUUGGUGGGGUGANGGCCUACCAAGGCGACGACGGGUAGCCGGCCUGAGAGGGCGACCGGCCACACUGGGACUGAGACACGGCCCAGACUCCUACGGGAGGCAGCAGUGGGGAAUCUUGCGCAAUGGGCGAAAGCCUGACGCAGCGACGCCGCGUGAGGGAUGACGGCCUCGGUUGUAAC